UUUCUUUUUUUUUCUUUUUUUUUUGAGAGAUAGUUAGCAUAUUAUCUGUUUCAUUCAUUUCAUUUAGAAAUAAACUUAACUGAAAAUAUGAAUUAACUAGAAUUCAAAUUUGGAAUAUCUAGUACCAAACAACAGAUCCUUUGCCACUUCCACUAGGAACGGCUGGUGACAUUUUCAUUUCCAGCCAUGUCAUAUUAAUACUUUAGUCAUGACAAUUUCAU
rnacentral:lncRNA from 1 species